ACGUAGGGGGCGAGAGUUGUUCGGAAUUACUGGGCGUAAAGGGCAUGUAGGCGGCUUGGUAAGCCUGGCGUGAAAGUCACCGGCUCAACCGGUGGAUUGCGUUGGGAACUGCUGAGCUUGAAUCACGGAAAGGGAGCUAGAAUUCCAGGUGUAGGGGUGAAAUGUGUAGAGAUUUGGAAGAAUACCAGUUGUGAAGGCGAGCUCCUGGCCGAUGAUUGACGCUGAGGUGCGAAAGUGUGGGGAUCGAACAG
rnacentral:rRNA from 1 species